GACGAACGCUGGCGGCGUGCUUAACACAUGCAAGUCGAACGGAAAGGCCGUGCUUUUGUGGGGUGCCCGAGUGGCGAACGGGUGGGUAACACGUUAGUAACCUGCCCUUGACUUUGGGAUAACUUCAGGAAAAUGGGGCUAAUACCGGAUAGGAGCUCCUGCUGCAUUGUGGGGGUUGGAAAGUUUGGGUGGUUGGGGAUGGACUCGCGGCUUAUCAGCUUGUUGGUGGGGUAGUGGCUUACCAAGGUGUUGACGGGUAGCCGGCCUGAGAGGGUGACCGGCGACAUUGGGACUGAGAUGAGGCCCAGACUCCUACGGGAGGCAGCAGUGGGGAAUAUUGAAAAAUGGGCGGAAGGCUGAUGCAGCAACGCCGCGUGCGGGAUAACGGCCUUAGGGUUGUAAACCGAUUUCGCAUGUGACGAAGCGUGAGUGACGGUAAUGGGUAAAGAAGCACCGGCUAACUACGUG
rnacentral:rRNA from 1 species